UACGUAGGGGGCAAGCGUUGUCCGGAUUCAUUGGGCGUAAAGAGCGUGUAGGCGGCCAGGUAGGUCGGUUGUGAAAACUGGAGGCUCAACCUUCAGAGGUCGACCGAAACCAUCUGGCUAGAGUCCGGGAGAGGAGAGUGGAAUUCCUGGUGUAGCGGUGAAAUGCGCAGAUAUCAGGAAGAACACCCGUGGCGAAGGCGGAUCUCUGGGCCUUACCUGACGCUCAGGCACGAAAGCUAGGGGAGCGAACAGG
rnacentral:rRNA from 1 species